AUUGAACGCUGGCGGCAGGCCUAACACAUGCAAGUCGAACGAGUGGCGGACGGGUGAGUAAUGUCUGGGAAACUGCCUGAUGGAGGGGGAUAACUACUGGAAACGGUAGCUAAUACCGCAUACCAUCGGAUGUGCCCAGAUGGGAUUAGCUAGUAGGUGGGGUAAAGGCUCACCUAGGCGACGAUCCCUAGCUGGUCUGAGAGGCUGACCAGUCACUAUGGAACUGAGACACGGGCGAGACUCCUACGGGAGUCAGCAGUGGGGAUUAUUGUACAAUGGGCGCAGGCCUGAUGCAGCCAUGCCGCGUGUAUGAAGAAGGCCUUCGGGUUGUAAAGUACUUUCAGCGGGGAGGCGUUACCCGCAGAAGAAGCACCGGCUAACUCCGUGCCAGCAGCCGCGGUAAUUC
rnacentral:rRNA from 1 species